rnacentral:rRNA from 1 species
ACUACGAGCCUUAGCUUAAAACCCAAAGGACUUGACGGUGUCCCACCCAACUAGAGGAGCCUGUUCUAUAAUCGAUAAUCCACGAUAUACCAAACCAUUUUUUGUUAUUCAGCCUGUAUACCUCCGUCGCAAGCUUACCGUAUGAGCGAAUAUCAGUAGGCUCAAUGGUCAAAACACCAAAACGUCAGGUCAAGGUGCAGCUCAUGAAAUGGAAGAAAUGGGCUACAAUUUCUAAACUAGAACAAACGAAAUACUACAUGAAAUAUAGUCAUGAAGGCGGAUUUAGCAGUAAGUAGAAAACAGAGAGUUCUACUAAAUAUGGCCCUGGGACGUGUACAAACCGCCCGUCACCCUCUUCGAUAGUCUACAAUAUAGUUAUAUAACCCAAUCUAUACGCCUUAGAAGAGGCAAGUCGUACCAUGGUAAGUAUACUGGAAAGUGUACUUGGAAUAA